rnacentral:tRNA from 1 species
GUCCGCAGCAGCGGCACGGGGUUGUCGCCGGACGGCUCGCGCCUGUCGACGGUGCCACGCUGCGGUGGCAGGACCGGAUCCUGGCCGGCCUGCAGGCG